rnacentral:rRNA from 1 species
GUCAGAGGGGGGUAGAACNCCACGUGUAGCAGUGAAAUGCGUAGAGAUGUGGAGGAAUACCGAUGGCGAAGGCAGCCCCCUGGGAUAAUACUGACGUUCAUGCUNGGAAGCGUGGGUAGCAAACAGGAUUAGAUACCCUGGUAGUCCACGCCCUAAACGAUGUCAAUUAGCUGUUGGGCAACUUGAUUGCUUAGUAGCGUAGCUAACGCGUGAAAUUGACCGCCUGGGGAGUACGGUCGCAAGAUUAAAACUCAAAGGAAUUGACGGGGACCCGCACAAGCGGUGGAUGAUGUGGAUUAAUUCGAUGCAACGCGAAGAACCUUACCUGGUCUUGACAUGUACGGAAUCUUUCAGAGACGGAAGAGUGCCUUCGGGAACCGUAACACAGGUGCUGCAUGGCUGUCGUCAGCUCGUGUCGUGAGAUGUUGGGUAAGUCCCGCAACGAGCGCAACCCUUGUCAUUAGUUGCCAUCAUUAAGUUGGGCACUCUAAUGAGACUGCCGGUGACAAACCGGAGGAAGGUGGGGAUGACGUCAAGUCCUCAUGGCCCUUAUGACCAGGGCUUCACACGUCAUACAAUGGUCGGUACAAAGGGUAGCCAAGCCGCGAGGUGGAGCCAAUCUCAGAAAACCGAUCGUAGUGCGGAUUGCACUCUGCAACUCGAGUGCAUGAAGUCGGAAUCGCUAGUAAUCGCAGGUCAGCAUACUGCGGUGAAUACGUUCCCGGGUCUUGUACACACCGCCCGUCACACCAUGGGAGUGGGGGAUACCAGAAGUAGGUAGGCUAACCGCAAGGAGGCCGC